rnacentral:rRNA from 1 species
GAGUUUGAUCAUGGCUCAGAACGAACGCUAGCGGCGUGCUUAACACAUGCAAGUCGUACGAGAAAUCCCGGGCAACUGGGAGAGUAAAGUGGCGCACGGGUGAGUAACACGUGGGUAAUCUACCUUGGAGUUUGGAAUAACACCUCGAAAGGGGUGCUAAUACCGAAUAUGGUCCCUGGAGUUUCGGCCCUAGGGAUGAAGGAUGGCUGAGGCUUGCAAGCUAUUGCUCCAAGAUGAGCCCGCGUACCAUUAGCUAGUUGGUGGGGUAAUGGCCCACCAAGGCUAUGAUGGUUAGCUGGUCUGAGAGGAUGGCCAGCCACACUGGAACUGAGAUACGGUCCAGACUCCUACGGGAGGCAGCAGUGAGGAAUCUUGCGCAAUGGGGGCAACCCUGACGCAGCAACGCCGCGUGAGUGAUGAAGGCCUUCGGGUCGUAAAGCUCUGUCAGGCGGGAAGAAAGUUUUCAGGGUGAACAAUCCUGGAGAUUGACGGUACCGUCAAAGGAAGCACCGGCUAACUCCGUGCCAGCAGCCGCGGUAAUACGGAGGGUGCGAGCGUUGUUCGGAAUUAUUGGGCGUAAAGCGCGUGUAGGCGGCUUGGUAAGUCGAGUGUGAAAUCCCGGGGCUCAACCCCGGAAGGUCGCUCGAAACUGCCUCGCUCGAGUCCC